rnacentral:rRNA from 1 species
AUGGCUCGCACGGCUGCCCUACAUUCAGUAACAGCACCGACUGUACACAUCCAUCCAUCCUUCUGCCUGUACAACAAUGAGUGGAGUUAUUUUUUUUGCCUCCAGAUGUUUAUGCCUGUCAUCGGUAAUUUUUUGGGACUCCAACCUGUGUGCUCUGCAACAAUGGCUAUUAGGGCAUCUCCAAAGCUUGCUGCAUGCCGAUUCAUUUGGCGGAAAUCUGGCUACACGCCUAGUUCACGCCUAGUUCAUAUGGUGGAAGGCUUGAUGCUAGCAUUUGUACAUGUGAUUUAG